ensembl:lncRNA CACTIN-AS1 CACTIN antisense RNA 1
AAAUUCACUGGGUGCGCUGGAACGCGGCACACAGUAGUAGUAUGCCCUGCUUAAUACAUACAGGACAUAUUUGAGGCCCCUUCCAGGGGUGGGGUGGGAGGACAGAGGGAUGGGGGGUGCACCAGACGACACAGCCAGACUGAGAAAGGUGGUCCCAGAGCAGAGACAGGGACCUCGACGCAUCCUCCAUACCCGCUGCGGGGAAAUGGACCCCACCAGCCAGCACGGGGAGGAAACUGAGGCCUGGCGAAAGAAAGAUGCGGCCUGAGGUGGGACGUGAACCCGCGGCCCUGCAGCCCAGACAGCGGCCCCGGAGUGACCACCAGCUUCACCGAAGCCCCUUUACUGUGCCCCCGAGGACACCUGCCUGCCGUUCCCCAGGGCCGUCACCGCCGAUAGCGGUAGCGCUUGAAGUGAAACCACAGCUGGAAGAUGCCGUUGGCAAACUGGCAGCGGAAGCCGUGGCGGUGCGAGUAUUCCCACUCGCGGUUGACGAUCUUGAAAGCGAUGUCCUCGUAGGGCGGCCCCGCGUGGAAGCGCAGGAUGGCGAAAUCCUUGUUGUCGGCGCAGGCCUCCAGGAAGUACUCGGGCGUGGAGCGCUUGUCGAUGAGGUCGGGGUAGAAGAUGUUGAACUUGUAUCCCUGCACGAUCUUGGGCGGUGGGUUGUCAAAGUCGUAGUGCGUCUGGUUGUACUUGUUCCACUCGAAGCCCGUGUGCACGCGGUUGAAGAAGCGCGGCUUGCGUGGCCGGUACUUGUCGGCCCACAGGACGGAGGCUGCCCAGGGAGUGCUCGGACAGCGGCCGGUAAAAGCUUCCACCACCUGUGGCCCCAAGGCCAGUGGGCCAGCAAGCCCAGGAUGAAUGAAGGAACGCCCCAGUGCGCGUGCAGGUGACGGAAUGCACGCUCAGAGACCCGGGGGAGAAGCAGCAAGCAGCUCCCCACUGACGCCAGCGGCUUCGGCCGGGAAAUGAGGCUGGAGAAGCCCCGCCCCCAGCUCGCCCCACUGGCCCCACCCCCUGGCCUCCAGCCCCGCCCUUACCCGUGACCUGGAGCUGCUGGCGCGAGAGCUGCAGGCGCUGCAGGUCCUCAUCCGGUUCCAGCACGUGCGCGUCCAGUGGCAGCUCGUGCGCCGUGAGCAGCCGCGGGCUGUACCUGCCGGCGUCGUAGUCGUCCAGGCUCUGCUGGAUCAGGUCCUCCUCCAUGAGCACCGCCUCGCCCUCGCCCUCGCCCUCACCGUCCCCGUCGCCGUCGCCCUCUGUCGGGGUCGCGCCGUCCACCUCGGCCUCCGCGGGGCCGCCCUCCGAGGAGGGCCCGGGCGGGGUGGGCGCCGCGUCCUCAGGCUCCAGGCUGGGAGGAGAGAGCGUUGGAGGCGCGGAGGCUGCCCACGGCCCCUCCAUCCUGCUCCGCGUCUGCAUCGGCGUCCCCGGGGUGCCGGCCGGGCCUACCUGCGGCUGGGGGACUGGGGCUCCUGCUUGAGGAUGGGGAACAGCGGCUCGCUCUCCACGCCCUGCUCCUGCUUCAGUUUGUACAGCUUCUGCCGCAGCACGUCCUGGUGGCGCUCACGCAGCCUGGGACGCAGAGCCGGGGUCACCCGCAUGGAGGCGAAGGGGCUCCGCGCCCCACCCCCACCGAGAUUCUCACGCCCCUUAUUGCUGCAAGGACCCUGAGAAGGUGGCGAGCAGCCACGGCUCUGGCUGGGACCUUUGCCCAGGCUUGGUCAGUUCAGGGUCAAGGCUUAUGGGAGAGAGGACGAGAGGACGCAGGUACCCUGGUGAACCAUCCCAUGGCAGGGAGAGGUGGGUCUCUGUCUCACGCUGCAGUCUCAGUGUCUUGUGGCUGGGGCUGGCCAGGAGAAGGGGCCCAGCAGGACACCAGCCAACAAGCAUGAUAAAUUUAGAGACAUUUACAAAUU